GAUCCUGGCUCAGGAUGAACGCUAGCUACAGGCUUAACACAUGCAAGUCGAGGGGCAGCAUGGUCUUAGCUUGCUAAGGCCGAUGGCGACCGGCGCACGGGUGAGUAACACGUAUCCAACCUGCCGUCUACUCUUGGACAGCCUUCUGAAAGGAAGAUUAAUACAAGAUGGCAUCAUGAGUCCGCAUGUUCACAUGAUUAAAGGUAUUCCGGUAGACGAUGGGAUGCG
rnacentral:rRNA from 1 species